GCAUUCUUAGCUCAGAUGGAUAGAGCAACAACCUUCUAAGUUGAAAGUCACGGGUUCAAUUCCUGUAGAAUGCG
rnacentral:tRNA from 1 species